rnacentral:lncRNA from 1 species
AUCUGUCCUUAUUAAAAGGAAGUGCAGAAGUUCAGCUGGAUAUAUUCUGCAGCACAGGCUGACUGUUUCAGGGCAGGAGUGGGGGGAAGCUGAUGCAGAGAGGAAAAUGAAGAUUUCAGAGACAGAAUAUUUAUGCACUGAAAUGGAGAACACUUCAUCCAACAUACAUUGACACAGGAGGAGUGGAAGCUGUGGCAGAACGGAAGUUGAGAUCUAUGGAAAGGUUAACAUCAGGUUUGAAAUUAAAAGUUACCUUCAACUGUUAAUCAGGUGGCAGUGCCUCGCUGCUAAAUGGUGCCUUGCUGCUAAAUGGUGAGAGAGAGCAGAGAGAGGAACCCAGGGCUGCUUCCAACAGAGGGACAAGCAGUCAAGAGGACCAAAGAGGAUGGCAAACAGGAGGGAUGGUGGAAGAUGUUGGUAGCAUGAAGAAAAGGACGGUGAUGGCAGGGAUGAGGAAAAAAAAAAUGGAAGAAAUACACAUAAAAGAAGAAGAGGGAAAAUUCAACAUAAAGAAGUAG